UAUAAUAACAGCAACAGAAGAACUGGGAC
rnacentral:piRNA from 1 species